AAUAAAGCGGAGGAANAGAAACCAACAGGGAUUGCCUCAGUAACGGCGAGUGAAGCGGCAAAAGCUCAAAUUUGAAAUCUGGCCCCCAGGCCCGAGUUGUAAUUUGCAGAGGAUGUUUCUGGCGCGGCGCCUUCCGAGUCCCUUGGAACAGGGCGCCAUAGAGGGUGAGAGCCCCGUAUGGUUGCGCGCUAAGCCUGUGUGAAACUCCUUCGACGAGUCGAGUAGUUUGGGAAUGCUGCUCAAAAUGGGAGGUAUACGUCUUCUAAAGCUAAAUACCGGCCAGAGACCGAUAGCGCACAAGUAGAGUGAUCGAAAGAUGAAAAGCACUUUGAAAAGAGGGUUAAAAAGUACGUGAAAUUGUUGAAAGGGAAGCACUUAUGACCAGACUUGGGCUCGGGCGAAUCAUCCAGCGUUCUCGCUGGUGCACUUCUCCGGGCUCAGGCCAGCAUCAGUCUGCUCCGGGGGAUAAAGGCUUCGGGAAUGUGGCUCCUCCGGGAGUGUUAUAGCCCGCUGCAGAAUGCCCUGGGGCGGACUGAGGCAUGCGCUCCGCAAGGAUGCUGRCGUAAUGGUCCUCAGUGACCCGUCUUGAA
rnacentral:rRNA from 1 species